rnacentral:tRNA from 10 species
GGGCCGGUAGCUCAGCCUGGUUAGAGCGCGGGGCUUUUAACCCCGUGGCCGCGGGUUCGAAUCCCGCCCGGCCCGCCA